GAUGAACGCUGGCGGCGUGCUUAACACAUGCAAGUCGAACGGAAAGGCCAGUGCUUGCACUGGUGCUCGAGUGGCGAACGGGUGAGUAACACGUGGGUGAUCUGCCCUGCACUUUGGGAUAAGCCUGGGAAACUGGGUCUAAUACCAGAUAGGACCAUGCUUUGGAUGGUGUGGUGGAAAGUUUUUUCGGUGUGGGAUGAGCUUGCGGCCUAUCAGCUUGUUGGUGGGGUAAUGGUCUACCAAGGCGUCGACGGGUAGCCGGCCUGAGAGGGUGUACGGCCACAUUGGGACUGAGAUACGGCCCAGACUCCUACGGGAGGCAGCAGUGGGGAAUAUUGCACAAUGGGCGCAAGCCUGAUGCAGCGACGCCGCGUGGGGGAUGACGGCCUUCGGGUUGUAAACUCCUUUCGCAACUGACGAAGCUUUUUGUGACGGUAGGUUGAGAAGAAGCACCGGCUAACUACGU
rnacentral:rRNA from 1 species